rnacentral:lncRNA from 1 species
AAUAUUCAUGAUGCAUGCACUCAAAACUCAUGAAUAUAUCCAUCAACAAUUAUGGCAUAUAGCCCGUCAACAAUAACGUGGAACACUAUCCAACGUCCGUCUUUAUUAAGAUAUUCAAUACCUUAAUAUCCGUCUUUAUCGAAUAACAUAAUUCGAUAUACUUCUUUAUUAGAAUAACAUAAUCCUAAUAUCCUUCUUUAUUAAGUUGAUUAACACCUUAAUAUACUUCUUUGACAUUUAAAUAAACAUCAUCAACACAAUCGUAUUCCACAAAUAUAAUCAACAACUAUCAUCACAAUACAAUUAAUCAUGGUUAUAAACACCUAAUUGCAUGUUAGGAUACCUUAAAUCCAUGUUACAAGUGCCU